rnacentral:rRNA from 1 species
CUCCAAGGCUAAAUACUCCUGACUGACCGAUAGUGAACCAGUACCGUGAGGGAAAGGCGAAAAGAACCCCGGCGAGGGGAGUGAAAAAGAACCUGAAACCGUGUACGUACAAGCAGUGGGAGCACAGGUUUACCUGUGUGACUGCGUACCUUUUGUAUAAUGGGUCAGCGACUUAUAUUCUGUAGCAAGGUUAACCGAAUAGGGGAGCCGGAGGGAAACCGAGUCUUAAUUGGGCGUUAAGUUGCAGGGUAUAGACCCGAAACCCGGUGAUCUAGCCAUGGGCAGGUUGAAGGUUGGGUAACACUAACUGGAGGACCGAACCGACUAAUGUUGAAAAAUUAGCGGAUGACCUGUGGCUGGGGGUGAAAGGCCAAUCAAACCGGGAGAUAGCUGGUUCUCCCCGAAAGCUAUUUAGGUAGCGCCUCGUGAAUUCAUCUCCGGGGGUAGAGCACUGUUUCGGCUAGGGGGCCAUCCCGGCUUACCAACCCGAUGCAAACUGCGAAUACCGGAGAAUGUUAUCACGGGAGACACACGGCGGGUGCUAACGUCCGUCGUGAAGAGGGAAACAACCCAGACCGCCAGCUAAGGUCCCAAAGUCAUGGUUAAGUGGGAAACGAUGUGGGAAGGCCCAGACAGCCAGGAUGUUGGCUUAGAAGCAGCCAUCAUUUAAAGAAAGCGUAAUAGCUCACUGGUCGAGUCGGCCUGCGCGGAAGAUGUAACGGGGCUAAACCAUGCACCGAAGCUGCGGCAGCGACGCUUAUGC